rnacentral:rRNA from 1 species
UACAGAGGUCCCGAGCGUUGUUCGGAUUCACUGGGCGUAAAGGGUGCGUAGGUGGCGAGGUAAGUCGGAUGUGAAAGCUCGGAGCUCAACUCCGAAAUGGCAUUGGAAACUACCUUGCUCGAGGGUUGGAGGGGGGACUGGAAUACUUGGUGUAGCAGUGAAAUGCGCAGAUAUCAGGAGGAACACCGGUGGCGAAGGCGGAUCUCUGGGCCAUUACUGACGCUGAGGAGCGAAAGCUAGGGGAGCGAACAGG